UGAAGGGUUAACCUUCUGUGUCUCGAGGCUGAGAGGAGGCGCUUACUUCCCUUGUAAGCGCCUCCUCUCAGCCUCGAGACACAGAAGGUUAACCCUUC